AUUGAACGCUGGCGGCAUGCUUUACACAUGCAAGUCGAACGGUAACAGGUUAAGCUGACGAGUGGCGAACGGGUGAGUAAUGCAUCGGAACGUGCACGAUCGUGGGGGAUAACGCAGCGAAAGCUGCGCUAAUACCGCAUACGAUCUGAGGAUGAAAGCGGGGGACCGUAAGGCCUCGCGCGAUCGGAGCGGCCGAUGUCAGAUUAGGUAGUUGGUGGGUAAAGGCUAACCAAGCCAACGAUCUGUAGCUGGUCUGAGACGACGACCAGCCACACUGGGACUGAGACACGGCCCAGACUCCUACGGGAGGCAGCAGUGGGGAAGUUUGGACAAUGGGCGCAAGCCUGAUCCAGCAAUGCCGCGUGCAGGAAGAAGGCCUUCGGGUUGUAAACUGCUUUUGUACGGAACGAAACGGUCUGGGUUAAUACCCUGGGCUAAUGACGGUACCGUAAGAAUAAGCACCGGCUAACUACGUGCCAGCCGCCGCGGUAAAAC
rnacentral:rRNA from 1 species